UCAUUUAUCUAAAAAAAAUAAAUAGAUAAAUAAAAUUUGAUAUGCUUUUUAACCACAACAGCUUUAAACCACUCAUCUGGCACUGCUCUGCAAUCCGCCACGCAUUACGUAAUAACGUUCGAAAAGGUCACGUGUGACGUAGGUGGAAAUACCGUGGAAGGGCGAAAAACUCCAUCUCAUUUUCUCCUCCAACUUAAAAAUCGUCUGACAUCAUUGUUUUACCUUUUUUUUUUUUGUAAAGGGCGUUUGGCUUAGUCUUUGCACGUUCGCUUUGUACACAAUGGAUCAGUACUUUCGUCUACAUCACGCGUGACCUUUCUAACGUGAUUACGUCAUGCGAGGCGGAUCCCAGAGCAGUGCAAGAUGAGCAUUUGUGGUUAAAAUGUAUAAACAUUUUUAUUUUUUUUAGAAAAUGACUGAUUGUUUCGCUAGACAAGAGCCUUAUUCCUCGUCUGGGAUCAUGUAGAGUGCUUUGAAGCUGCACUGAAACUGCAAUUUGGACCUUAAACCCGCUGUACCCCACUGAAAAAAAAUCCUGGAAUGUUUUCCUCAAAAACCUUCAUUUCUUUUCGACUGAAGAAAGAAAGACAUGAACAUCUUGGAUGACAUGGGGGUGAGUAAAUUAUCAGGAAAUUUUAAUUCUGAAGUGAACUAAUCCUUUAAGUGGCCUUUUAUUUAAUUAAUAUUAUAUUAUAAGUACUUUUUUACUUUUACUUUUACACUGAAGUAUACUGAAAGUGCACAUUCAAUACAAUUGAGCACACUUCUUUUUCACAAGGGUGGUUUAGAGAUUACUUUCAAGUGUAGUUUACAACUUGUUGCACUGCGGUCAAAGCAUUUGUUUAUCAUUAACGUUGGACUGUCUUGUCCGUUAAGGGUGUCUAAAACAAGCUAAACAUAAACCACAGCUCACCACAAACAUGAAUUCGGUACAUUUGGGACAGUUUAGAAAAUAGAUGAAUAUAAAUAAGGCAUAUCAUUUUAGAAAAUGUUUUGUUUUUGUUUACUAAAUUUUGCAACGUUUAACAGCUGCAUGUAGUCAUGAGCCAACAAUUUGUUUUCAUGUUGGAAAUUUUCUGCUGAAAUAAACAAGCACAAUGCAUGUUUAUACCAGCAAUAAGAACAUGAAAGUGAGAGGACUGCUUUGUCAUCACUCUACAUCUGACUGCAGUCUCAAUAAGCUUUGCUUGUGUGGUCCAGCUUCAAGGGCUUCAAGUCCCAACACACAUAAACAGCAGGCAGAUGUAGGAGCACUGAUUGUUUACCAAGCUCUCAAUUCUCUAAACAACAGAUCAAAUGACACUGAACUCUGGCAAUCAAACAGAGAAUCUGCCUUGUUCCCCAAUGGGUAAAUAUUUACCAUAAUAUAUCAAAAGUCCCAUUUGUCAGUGCCUGGGACAGACAUAACAUGCACAUUUUGUAACCAAAUAGUUCCUCUUUACUGUCUGUUUGUGUCAUUUUCCCCUUCUUUUCUCUCAAAUGUGUGCUUUUUUGGUGUUUAUCGUGACAAGAUCUAAAAACAUCAUUAAUAACACUAUCUGGGAAGUGGGAUCAGCAGUGUUUGCUUACUUCAGUAUGUACUGAAACACUUCAAAUUAAGUCAAGUAAGGAAGGAGCAUGUGGGAACUCUUUCGGGGGUCAGACCUUCAUUCUGAGUGGGAGUUUAUUGUUAUACUACAUUUUCCAAUGGUUUUGUGAGGUGUGAUAUUCAAUAAGUUACUCAUGUUACACUUAGUGGGAGAAAACCAAUGCAGCUGAUGCCCGAGGGCUCACCUUAAUGAUGGUGGACUCGCCAUCAUGGUAACCACGGCUGUAAUUUCCUAAUAAAAUUAAGUAGGGGGAUUUUUGUGGACCGGCCUGAAAGUGUUGAACGAACAUGAAAUCAGCUCUGAAGAAAAAGUGCUCACUUGGAAGACGGUGGUUUAAUCAACACUUUUCCUCAUCAGUAGGAUGACAUUGAAAUGAAAGGCGCCUUUUUCAUCUGUCUGAACAAAGGUUGGGCUAUUUUGCGCACUCUCAGAAAUCAAAUCAAAAUGCCUGUUACAAUGACAUUGUAAAAUAAGCAAAGUAAAUCAGUCAGCAGGCCGAUGUCAUACGUGACUACUAUUGUAACAGGAAAAACAAACAGCUUGUUCUACCUGCCCCAGACUGAACUGCUGUGCUGAUGGAGGUGCUACUAAAACAAGCAAAUAUCGAGUGAUUUCUGAAUAUCUCUUUGUCCAACAUGGAGCAAUAACAGGACGUCCAGUUCCUGAGUUUGCAUAUAGCAGAAACUGACGAAACUGUUUCAUUUUCAAUAGACUAAUUCAAAACCAUAUAAAACAGGCGUUCCUUUUUUCGGCAGCCCCUAACUAAAUUAUUUAUUUGAUGUACAUCUUGAGAUUUAUUUUUAAGUGUUGUUCUAGAAUUUCCAACAUGUCUAAAAAUAUAAUAAAUGUAAUGAUUACAGGAUUUGUGUAAAAUGUUAUUUUGUCAAUUCACUGUAUCCUUUUUAUAUGUCUAUAAAAUUAACAGAUAAUAUCCUGGCAGAAAAUGACCAGUACUUUUACAUUUUUAUACAGAUUUUUUUUUCUUACAGUGUAUAUAGCCUAUUUGAAUGCAUCCAUAUACUGUAUAUGUGUGUCCUUAACACUAAUAAUACAACGAUGGAUGGAUGGAUGGAUGGAUGGAUGGAGAACCCAAGAUGCUAAAGCCGAAAUGUCAGAACAAAGCAAAUGUCAGAACUACAUUCGAUAUAAAAACACUAACAAGGCUUACAAGAAACAACAGAAGUUUCCUCCAGUACCUAUAGAUGAUCUUUUAAGAAUAUAUAAGAACUGAAGACCAGUUUGGAAACAUUUUCACACAUUUAAGAGAAGACCAAGAGUGAAAAUCCUACUCGUUCCCUCCUGUUUACCUCAGUGCAACAGCUGAGCGAUGUCAGACAACAGCUGCAGGUCACACGUGUCAUUGUGCCACCACUAAUGCACUGAAGACUGAAAAUACAGCUGUACUGAGGAUAGCGUCAGGGUCGCAGGUGCUGAGCUCUGCGACACAUGGCAGAUGAGAUUAAACAAAUAGCAGCGGCCUUAAGCUUCCAUGAAAGAGAGACUGCGGCGAGAGAGAUCCAUGCCACUUCAUCAAAGCAAUUACACCACUUCAAAACUAUUUACGCCACUUUUUGGUCUGAGGUCCAAGACCACCAACUAUUUAAGACAUUUAGCUGCCUGAAACCAAAUAAGAGGUAUAGUUGAGUGGGGGGGAUAAAAUGCACUGUGUUUCCAAUUUCGAUAUGCUGUAAAAUAUUUCAGGAAAAAAAUAAAAAUGACCAAUUUACAUUUAACUACCACACGUGCUCUUUAUUGACAAUGAUUUUCUCUCUAUGUAUGAAUAAAAUUCACAUUAUUUUUUAUCAUAUUUUAAUCUUAAUAUGUACAUAUUAAAAUUACACAUUCAAUUCUUAGUUUUUCCAAUUUCCGAAAUCUGUCAUGAAACCACCAAUGAACCAUCUUUUGUCAAUGUAAUUUUAUUGUAAUAAUUUGUUUUUUAAGUGUUUUCAAAUAUCUACAUUUUACUUUUAUGGGAACCAUUUAAAUUACGUCCUUGUGCCUUAUUUAAAACAUGAACUUUAAUACACUUAAAAACAAGAUAAAAUAAUAAUUACAUAAAUUGCCAGUCAAUUAUACUGUGUACUGAAUCCUGAAAAUACAUUUUUUUUUUAAAUAAAUUCAAAAUUAAAAACAAAUAAAAACAAAUGCACAUAAAUAAAAA